UGUGGGAGCGAGCCUGCUCGCGAUGCAAACGAUGCGGUAUUUCUGAACGUCCGCAUUGAUGCCAUCGCGAGCAGGCUCGCUCCCACA
rnacentral:misc_RNA from 1 species